rnacentral:rRNA from 1 species
UACGAAGGGGGCUAGCGUUGUUCGGAAUUACUGGGCGUAAAGCGCGCGCAGGCGGUCUUCCAAGUCAGUGGUGAAAGCCCGGAGCUCAACUCCGGAACUGCCAUUGAAACUGUGAGACUUGAGGACGAGAGAGGUGAGUGGAAUUCCCAGUGUAGAGGUGAAAUUCGUAGAUAUCUGGAGGAAUACCGGAGGCGAAGGCGGCCAACUGGGAAUGCAUUGACACUGAGGUGCGAAAGCGUGGGGAGCAAACAGG